AACGUAGGGGACAAGCGUUAUCCGGAUUUACUGGGCGUAAAGCGCCCGUAGGCGGCUUUUUAAGUUGGACGUGAAAGCUCCCGGCUUAACUGGGAGAGGCCGUUCAAAACUGAGAGGCUAGAGUGAGGCAGAGGAGCGCGGAAUUCCCGGUGUAGUGGUGGAAUGCGUAGAUAUCGGGAGGAACACCAGUGGCGAAAGCGGCGCUCUGGGCCUAAACUGACGCUGAGGGGCGAAAGCGUGGGGAGCG
rnacentral:rRNA from 1 species